rnacentral:rRNA from 1 species
CUACGGAACUCCUACGGGAGGCAGCAGUGGGGAAUUUUGGACAAUGGGGGCAACCCUGAUCCAGCAAUGCCGCGUGAGUGAAGAAGGCCUUCGGGUUGUAAAGCUCUUUUGUCAGGGAAGAAACGGUAGUAGCUAAUAUCUACUACUAAUGACGGUCCCUGAAGAAUAAGCACCGGCUAACUACGUGCCAGCAGCCGCGGUGAUACGUAGGGUGCAAGCGUUAAUCGGAAUUACUGGGCGUAAAGCGUGCGCAGGCGGUUGUGUAAGUCUGUCGUGAAAUCCCCGGGCUCAACCUGGGAAUUGAGAGGGAGACUGCAAGGCUAGAAUCUGGCAGAGGGGGGUAGAAUACCACGUGUAGCAGUGAAAUGCGUAGAGAUGUGGAGGAACACCGAUGGCGAAGGCAGCCCCCUGGGUCAAGAUUGACGCUCAUGCACGAAAGCGUGGGGAGCAAACAGGAUUAGAAACCCUAGUAGUCCUCUUCGA